AUGUGAUCGUCUCUCGCAUAUCAAUAAGCGGAGGAAAAGAAACUAACAAGGAUUCCCCUAGUAACGGCGAGUGAAGCGGGAAGAGCUCAAAUUUGAAAUCUUAAAGGGUUUCCCUUUACGAAUUGUAGUUUAAAGAAGUGUUUUCUGUUGAGGUUUUGGUAAAAGUUCUUUGGAAUAGGACAUCAUAGAGGGUGAGAAUCCCGUAUUUGACCUUUACUUUCAACUUUGUGAUACACUUUCAAAGAGUCGGAUUGUUUGGGAAUGCAGUCCAAAAUGGGUGGUAAAUUUCAUCUAAAGCUAAAUAUUGGCGAGAGACCGAUAGCGAACAAGUACCGUGAGGGAAAGAUGAAAAGAACUUUGAAAAGAGAGUUAAACAGUACGUGAAAUUGUCAAAAGGGAAGCGUUUGACACCAGUGUUGUUUUUCUGAAAAUCAAUUAAAGAACUGUUUAUGCUAAGCUGUUUAGACUUUAUCAGCUAACUGUUUAGUUUUGAGCUUUUCUUUAAUGCACUUUUCAGUUAACAAGUCAACAUCAAUUUCUUUUGCUGUAAAAAAGCUUGAGAAAGGUGGCUUGAGAUUCGUCUUAAGUGUUUAUAGCCUCUUGCCUAUGCAGUCGGAGAGAUUGAGGUCUGCAGCGUAGAUCCUUCGGGGCUAAAUGCAUUUGUGCUAAGUUAUAGCAUUUUAUAGACAACUUGUUGACUAUGAUUUGUCUUGUAGCUUACUCGCUUAUGUUACUUUUACCUACGCUUAGGAUGUUGAGUCGUAGAGCACGCAG
rnacentral:rRNA from 1 species